rnacentral:tRNA from 1 species
AACGAUUAAUAAAUUUAGGCCAAUUACAUAACCUUAGGUCUUUUCGUAAUCCUUGGACAAGUUCGUAGGAGUGUC